rnacentral:rRNA from 1 species
GAUGAACGCUGGCGGCGUGCUUAACACAUGCAAGUCGAACGAAGCACUUUAUUUGAUUUCCUUCGAGACUGAUUAUUUUGUGACUGAGUGGCGGACGGGUGAGUAACGCGUGGGUAACCUGCCUUGUACAGGGGGAUAACAGUUGGAAACGGCUGCUAAUACCGCAUAAGCGCACAGCAUCGCAUGAUGCAGUGUGAAAAACUCCGGUGGUAUAAGAUGGACCCGCGUUGGAUUAGCUAGUUGGUGAGGUAACGGCCCACCAAGGCGACGAUCCAUAGCCGACCUGAGAGGGUGACCGGCCACAUUGGGACUGAGACACGGCCCAAACUCCUACGGGAGGCAGCAGUGGGGAAUAUUGCACAAUGGGCGAAAGCCUGAUGCAGCGACGCCGCGUGAGCGAAGAAGUAUUUCGGUAUGUAAAGCUCUAUCAGCAGGGAAGAUAAUGACGGUACCUGACUAAGAAGCACCGGCUAAAUACGUG